rnacentral:rRNA from 1 species
AGGUUGUGCCCUUGAGGCGUGGCUUCCGGAGCUAACGCGUUAAAUCGACCGCCUGGGGAGUACGGCCGCAAGGUUAAAACUCAAAUGAAUUGACGGGGGCCCGCACAAGCGGUGGAGCAUGUGGUUUAAUUCGAUGCAACGCGAAGAACCUUACCUACUCUUGACAUCCAGAGAACUUAGCAGAGAUGCUUUGGUGCCUUCGGGAACUCUGAGACAGGUGCUGCAUGGCUGUCGUCAGCUCGUGUUGUGAAAUGUUGGGUUAAGUCCCGCAACGAGCGCAACCCUUAUCCUUUGUUGCCAGCGGUUCGGCCGGGAACUCAAAGGAGACUGCCAGUGAUAAACUGGAGGAAGGUGGGGAUGACGUCAAG